UACGGAGGGUGCAAGCGUUAAUCGGAAUUACUGGGCGUAAAGCGUGCGCAGGCGGUUUGUUAAGUCUGCUGUGAAAUCCCCGAGCUCAACUUGGGAAUUGCAGUGGAUACUGGCAGGCUGGAGUAUGGUAGAGGAAGGUGGAAUUCCCGGUGUAGCAGUGAAAUGCGUAGAGAUCGGGAGGAACACCAGUGGCGAAGGCGGCCUUCUGGACCAAUACUGACGCUCAUGCACGAAAGCGUGGGGAGCAAACGGG
rnacentral:rRNA from 1 species